ensembl:lncRNA
CCCGUGUGAUUACCUGUGAUCCUAUGAACGAGACGAGAUUCAUUUGUCUUCAAGAAGUCCGAUUACUCCGGCCAGCUGCUCUCAGUGGUGGAUGGGCCCAAACAGUGAGGGAAUAGCUUGUCUUUCCUGGAAAGCCACUGAAGGAGCCCAAAUUAGUAUCUCCCUUGCCGCUGGAUGCCGCUGCAUUUGAGUUGGAUUCAUUCUCAGUGGAACAUGGUCGCCUGGAAGGCUCUCUGAUGGCUGUGCUAUGCCUUGCGACCUACACUGCCAUGCAGAAAGGUAAUACUAUUAUCACAUAUGACCGCCAAGCACUUCUGGACAUCAGAUCGACACUUACAAACCUCGAUUUCCACUUCAAACGCGACUCAGCUGUUCCACUGUUCAUUCCGGACCAUAUUCAUUUGUUCCAUGGCUACCUAAACAGUGCAGGUGUAGACGCGGGAGACAAGGUGGAGUCCUGGUAAAAUUGAAAGAGAAAACCGAAUGACUCACUCCUCCAUUCUAUUGCUAAAUGUCCAGUCACUCGAGAAUAAGAUGGAUGAGCUUAGUUCGAGGGUCUCCUAUUAGAGAGACUUGAAAAACUGCAAUAUAUUAUGUCUUACUGAAACAUGGCUGGAUGAUGAUGCUAUGCACAUAGUUCUCGGUGGAUUCUCCAUGCAGUGGCAGAAUCAUACUGCGGCUUCGGGGAAGUCAAAAGGACGUGGAGUGUGUUUUUUCAUAAAUAACAACUGGUGUGCUGCUUCAAGUGUGAAGGAAAUCUCAAGCUUUUGCUCACCUUAUAUAGAAUCCCUCAUGGUAAGCUGCAGACCAUCUCAUCUGUAAUUAUCUCAGCUGUCUACAUCCCUUCACAAGCCAACACCACUCUGGCACUUAACGAACUGUAUCGGGCUAUAAACAAACAACUCACCCAGAGGCAGCGUUUCUGGUGGGCAGAGACUUUAACGCAGAGCGACAUAAAACCCGUCCUACCUCCGUCCUGACAUAUUGCCAAGGCUGGUUGGUUGGGUCGAGAACAGGAACAUCCCCCAAGUCAUCCAGGAGCAUCCUACGAGCUCCAUUCACCAGGGAAGGGGAGCCCCCUUUGGGGAGGGAAUCCUGCGACACUUCCACCAGACCAGAGCGGCGUCCGGCUACUUGGGUAGAAGAAAAAGAAAAACCAGGCUGGCGUGGAUUCCCCAGCAGCUUGUGUAGGUUCGCUACUUGUUUUCUAAGAGUAGCCACUUCACCCCUGUAGUCCUCUGCAAGCAAACAGUUGCUACAUUGAAAGUCAGAGUGGUCCACAUUGUCCCGGAAUAAAGCAAAGUUAAUACAGCUCCUGCAGCAUUGAGAACAUUCAAUAGCGACCUCCAUUUGAGCCUGCCAGCUAGGCUAGCUGGGUUUCCGUGUUUCUCUCUUUACAUGGAAUCUGCGGGAACCCAGGACAGAGAGUA